UACAGAGGUGCCAAGCGUUAGGCGGAAUCACUGGGCUUAAAGCGCGUGUAGGUGGACGGGUAAGUAUCUUGUGAAAUCCCACGGCUCAACCGUGGAACUGCUGGAUAUACUGCUUGUCUUGAGGCACUUAGGGGCAGCUGGAACAAAUGGUGGAGCGGUGAAAUGCGUAGAUAUCGCUUGGAACGCCAACGGUGAAAACAGGUUGCUGGGGGUUGUGCCGACGCUGAGACACGAAAGCCAGGGGAGCAAACGGG
rnacentral:rRNA from 1 species